UCCUUCCGGGUCCUCAUUUCCCCGAUUGGGUGAAACCCUAGCCACCACUCCCCGUCGGGCUUCUCUCCUCCACUCCCCAUCGCGCCCCUCUCCUCCAAUCCCCGCAGCCGAAGACGAGAUCUCGCCCUUCGCCGAGCUUGCCACCAUCGCUGCUCUCCCCUCGCCAUCGCCGGGAGGAGUGUGCAGGCCGCCGCUCGCGUCGUUUCUCCGCAGCCACCACCGCCCCCUUCCCUUCCAAGCCCACGGAGAUGACGGCGCCGGCGCUGGCGCUCGCGGUGGUCGGGUACUGGGCUGCCCGACAGCCGCGGGGCCAGGACGCUCUACUUCGCCAGGGACCUCAAGCUGUUGACGGCGGGGACUGAGUCGCCGCCGCAUCAUCUUCUCCUCCUCCCCAACACCUCAUGAUUGCGGGUCGCCGUCGCACCAGAUGAGGUGGGGCUGCAACCACGCCCCCUUCACCUCUUCUACCCAGCCGUGCCACUCGGGACGACAAGAUCCAGCCGCGGCGGCCGAGAUCUAGUUGGCUGCCAUCAAUAUGAGGAGCGCUCGUGCCGCUGCUCCGCCGUUCGUCGUCCACUUGGCCGCAACUAUCCACAAGAAGAGGUGAUGUCACGGCAGCAGGGUCCUCACCUGUCUCCGCUCCCUCGUCUCCCCCUUCUGCUGGCAAGGGUGCUGAGCAGCAACAGUUCCAUCUCCCUCCCCAACGCAUCCUUGCCUCAUCUUGAUCUGCAAUGAACCAGAGCCCAGAGAAAGAGAUUUGAUAUGAUGAUUGAGGUAGGAGGCAUGGAUUGUUUGGGGCUCCUCUGAAAUAAGCUUCUUAAUUAGGAGAUGAAUACAGUCGGAGCCUGGGAUUUUUAUACACAGAGAUGGGGCAUAAAUAAGCAAAACAAAAAAUGCGCCAAUGCUUUGCCAGAAUUUCGUUGGUCCUCUCAAGAUUGUGGCGAAACCAAGAUUGAAUUUAGAGAUGUUUCAUAUGCUUGGCCGUUGACACACCUCUCUUCAAGGCAAGGUCAUUUCCAAGGUGAUUACAGCGCUAGGACCUACCCCUGAUAAGAACCAGGGCACCCGUUUAAACAGAAUGAUGACUGUGUGAGGCUUAAAAUAUCGCCAUCAUAUCAGGGGUGAUGCUGUCACUUCCAUGGUCCACCAGAAUGAAGAUCACACUCAGUGCUGCAAGGGGGCUUGCCUUCCUGCACGAAGCUGAGAAGCCAGUUGUCUACAUGGAUUCAAGACAUCCAACUUGCUCGAUGAGAUACCCAAACCGCGUUUAAUCGCUUCGAUGUUUACUUCCAUUCGUAUAGAUUCCGGACUCCUUAUACACAAAAAACAUUAGAGUGGUUCACAUAAAUGGUUCAGUAAACAGAAUGAGCACCUGUAAUUUUUCAUGAGGCUGAUUUUAAGUUCUCAAUUUAUUUGCCAUGGAUUGUUUGGGGCUUCUCUGAAAUAAGCUUACCUAUGCAGGAAAACAACAGGAAUGAGAUUAAUAGAUUUAAUGAAGAGAUAUGCCAGGAUUAGGCGGAGAUGAUGAAAGGCUUUGUAAAAGUCAGAUCUCUGUGAUUUAUAUAUGUGCUCACGAGGACAUUCCCAUUGCAUCUGCUUUGACAAGUUGAAGAAUCUGGUCUUUUUGUGCUUGCCUACAGAACUGUCAUAUCUUAUAUUUGUUGGUCAAAUAAAAACGAAUGAUGGUUGAUUGUCUCGACUAUGAAUGAGCAUUUCUGGAUUGUAGAACAAAGAGUGUCCCGGGCAAAAGGACCAAGAUUUGGCGGGUGGGCGUCGGGAGUCCAGUUGGUUGGCUUCAGCCUUUGAGGUGCUGCCGGCUAGCGGUGCCGCUUCUGAGUGUGUCCUCGUCUCACUCCCUUGGCACCUUCGGCCGAUGAUCCUUCUGCUUUCCUUUUUACUAAAUAGACAAGUUGGAUCCAGUGUGUCUCCAUGUGUCCAUGUGUGUUUUGGGUGAAUACGCAAUGAAACGCGGGAAAGUGGCCUCUAUUUGACAUUGUCGUGCUGAACGAUUCAUUCACAUGUCUGUAACUUUGUAUCUUGGUUCUGUUUCUAUUGUUAGUUCCAAAAGAUAUAUCCACUUCUUGGCGACUUUUAACUCUGUAACAUGUCUAUUCUUAGUGUAGAUAUACUUUUUAUUCUAGCUGCAUUGCUGUGAGCAGGCAGAUUUCUUAUGGGGAAUGGCGAUGAUUGCUUGAGCUUUCAUUUUGAUCCCCUUUGUAUCCCAAACAUAGUUUUCGCACAGUCGCUGUAUGUACUGGUUCCGGAUACUCCAUGUAGCGGUUUUUGUUUGUUUUUAUUCAUAUAAGUACUAGAUUCUCGUACAAAACAGAGAUGAACUGCACUAUAUGUUUACUGAUAUGUUGGGCCCAAAUAAAAUGUCUUCGUGCUUCACUUUUGGCUACUUUGAUUCUAAUGCACAUAUGUGCAUUCCUUUUUUUGUCAUUCACUUUGUUGUUCAUUUGAUUGUCCAUUUCUUCAUUUUUAAUGACAAAGCAUGUGUUUUUUUCUUUUCGAAUUAGCUUAAAAUCACAAUCAAAGAGUUAACUUUGUACUUAAUUUUCAUAAACAACUGUCUAUAUGGCUUAAGAAAGGUGAAGAGCAAGGCCAAUCAGGAUUUAUCUAUGGUUGGUUUCUUGAUCCAGAUUUGUUAACAAGGUUUACUAAAGGCAAGUUGGUUUUACCAAGCGAGACAGAUAAAUUUAUUAAUACUUGCAAUAUACGUCUAAGAGAUUAUUUGCAUCAGGUUCAAGUGAAGUGCCACCUGUGAAGUUGAUUGACAAGGCAGUUGAAUGAAGCCACUUAUUAGCACCUUGCUUGCUCUUCUUUCUUUUUGGAGCCAAAAGAUCCAUCGGCGCUCCACUACUGGGCUUUGAUUUGAAGAGACUGCUGGGAAAGGUUAUCUCGGUCAUCUUCCGUCUGAUACAUAGGUCAAACCAGGACUCACACACUCUCUCGCCGAUAUUUCCCUCCGCUCCCGUGAAUACAUCGUCUUCUACGCACGGCGGCGCCGCCUUGGAUCGGCCCUCCGUCGCGCCGCUUCGGUCGUCACCACGCAUCUCAGCUCCAAUAACCAGGUCGUGAUGGCUGACGAUGAGCUCUAGGUUCAUGGCUCACCAGGCUCCACUGGCUCCACCAACAACUGUCUGCAGGCACUUGCACAGAACAGUUCUUGACAGCCUCCUAGCACACCUUGGGCACGCUAUUAGAUGGGGCCUCUCCUAAUUCACAACUGAUCCUAUGCCUAUCAAGGUGAUUUCGUCUUGCUGUACAUGUAUUGCACUUCCAGGAUGCUUGAGUGCAGAAAUUAUUGUAUUCCAUAUAUCUCACAAUUUGUUUGUAUCGGGUUCAUGUGAGGCAGAUGAAUUACGCCACGUGUUAGUAUGCUUAUUAUGGCUCCAUAGUUGGCUGUCCUUGUGUGUUUUCGCUUUUGGUAUUGAACUUUGUGUUGAAUGGCCGUAUUCUGCGGUCGGCUG